rnacentral:lncRNA from 1 species
GCAACCGAUGAAGAAAUUUUGGAGGUCAAUGAGACGGAUAUGCAUAUUGCAUCAGAUGCAUGUCAGACUGUAGGCUACCUUGCAACAGAUGAAGAAAAUUCGGAGAUCAAUGAGACGGUUAUGCAUAUUGCAUCAGAUGCUUGGCAGACUGUAGGCUACCUUCCAGCUGAAGGGAUACCUUCUCGGUUGUCCCAGCUUGAAAGCUCAGAAGGUUUGGUGCCCAUAGGCCUUUACAUGUUGAACCAUUCUUGCUUAAAAGCCUAUGAUAGUUUAGCCCUAAGUAUGUUCCUUUUCUUAAGGGACAUUUGUUUCUAUGGUCAGGAAUGCCUUGUAUACCCAAUUGCACUUCUUUAAACAUUUUCUAUAGUU